GGAAGGCCCAGGGAACCAAGCAGCGCUGCCGCUGCCGCCGCCGCCGCUGCAGCCGGAGUUGGAGGAGGGAGAAGCCAGGAAGAAAAUGGCGGCUGUGGCUGCAGAGGCGGCAGCGACUGCAGCGUCCCCCGGGGAGGGGGGCGCCGGCGAGGCCGAGCCGGAGAUGGAGCCCAUCCCCGGCAGUGAGGCCGGCACUGACCCCCUCCCGGUCACGGCCACUGAAGCGUCUGUGCCGGAUGGCGAGACCGACGGGCAGCAGUCCGCUCCUCAGGCCGACGAGCCGCCGCUCCCGCCGCCACCGCCGCCGCCGGGGGAGCUCGCCCGCAGCCCAGAGGCGGCGGGGCCGGAGCUGGAGGCUGAGGAGAAACUGUCCGUUCGGGUGGCGGAGUCGGCGGCAGCCGCGCCUCAGGGAGGGCCCGAACUUCCACCUUCUCCUGCAUCGCCGCCGGAGCAGCCCCCGGCUCCCGAGGAGCGCGAGGAGCCGCCGCUGCCUCAGCCCGUAGCCCCGGCGCUCGUGCCGCCGGCGGGCGGGGACUCCACGGUGUCGCAACUGAUCCCGGGCUCGGAGGUGCGGGUCACGCUGGACCACAUCAUUGAGGACGCGCUCGUCGUGUCGUUCCGCCUCGGGGAGAAGCUUUUCUCCGGGGUCCUCAUGGAUCUGUCCAAAAGGUUUGGGCCCCAUGGUAUCCCUGUGACAGUAUUUCCCAAAAGGGAAUAUAAGGAUAAACCAGAAGCCAUGCCGCUCCAAAGUAAUACAUUCCAAGAAGGGACAGAAGUCAAGUGUGAAGCAAAUGGUGCUGUUCCUGAUGACCCUUCUCCUGUCCCGCAUCCCGAGCUGAGCUUGGCUGAAAGCCUGUGGACUUCCAAACCACCACCUCUCUUCCAUGAAGGAGCACCUUAUCCUCCCCCUUUGUUUAUCAGGGACACAUAUAACCAAUCAAUACCUCAGCCACCUCCUCGGAAAAUUAAGCGACCCAAACGAAAAAUGUACAGGGAAGAACCCACUUCAAUAAUGAAUGCUAUUAAACUACGACCCAGGCAAGUUCUGUGUGAUAAAUGUAAAAACAGUGUUGUUGCUGAAAAAAAGGAAAUUAGAAAAGGUAGUAGUGCAAGUGACUCUUCUAAAUAUGAAGAUAAAAAACGGAGAAAUGAAAGUAUGACUACUGUGAACAAAAAACUGAAAACUGACCAUAAAGUGGAUGGGAAAAACCAAAAUGAAAGCCAGAAAAGAAAUGCUGUGGUUAAGGUUUCAAAUAUUGCUCACAGCAGAGGCAGAGUAGUAAAAGUUUCUGCUCAGGCAAAUACAUCAAAAGCUCAGUUAAGUACUAAAAAAGUUCUCCAGAGUAAGAACAUGGAUCAUGCGAAAGCUCGGGAAGUGUUAAAAAUUGCCAAAGAAAAGGCACAAAAGAAGCGAAAUGAAACCUCUACUUCCAAAAAUGCACAUUCAAAAGUCCAUUUCACACGUCGAUAUCAGAAUCCUAGCUCAGGUUCCCUUCCACCCCGGGUUCGUUUAAAACCACAGAGGUACAGGAAUGAAGAAAAUGACUCUUCUCUGAAGACAGGACUUGAGAAAAUGCGGAGUGGCAAGAUGGCACCCAAGCCCCAGUCUCGCUGCACCUCUACCCGCUCAGCAGGUCUCAACAAAUGGCAGCUAUUACAUCAGACAGUGACGAGUCCUGCUGCUCCCUUACAGUGUCUGACAGACCACUGUGGAUUCAGACUGGGAGCAUUGAAGUUAACAGUGAAACGGGCAGCACAAAGACAUUAGCAGGCUGCUGGUUUCAUGGACCUGUACCACAAUGACACAGAGAACACCAGAGCAUCAGGACUGAAUGAAAUUGGAGUUUUUAAAGCUGCACUAAGAAGUAAAUGUUAAGGCAGUGGUUAAAAACAACAGUCUAUAAAGGGGCACUUGCAAAUUGUGCUAUCUUAAACCGAAGAAAAGGGAGAACCAAGGAAGAUUAACAAGCCAUGUGCUCCUUAUCUGCGAGGGCCUACAAGAGACUCAUACUGAUCCUGGUCAUGUAUACAUGUAUCAGUAUAUUUAUAGACACAACUCCUACAAGAUGCAGGGAAUGAGUGAUGCAACCAAUAGAAGCAACUGAAAAUCUUACCAAUGCUGGCCUUCACAUAAGAAAGCGUUUGUUUCCAGUGGAGGUGAGAAUGGGGGUGGACGAAAAGAGAAAUCCCUAAUCACCACAGGCUUCCCUCUUCCCUAAGCCACAACAAUAUUGAAAUUAGGUCAAUUAAUAAUCUUGUAAUGACCUUUAAAUGUUCAAGUAAAAGGAAGAGCCAGACUUUAACAAAAUUAAAAGUGCUACUUCAAUGAACACAUGAAUAAGAAAGCAAAACAGCCUUAUUGCUUAUAUGGAGAAAGGUCUAGAUAUCUGGAUAGAAGAUCAAACCAGCCACAACAUUCCCUUAAGCCAAAGCCUUGGAUUACCACAGCAAGGCCCUAACUUUCUUCAAUCCUACCAAGGUUGAGUGAGGAAGCUGCUUUAAGGAAAGAAGCCAUCUCCAUACAUAAAAGUGCAAGGUGAAGCAGCAAAGGCUGAUAUAGAAGCUGCAAAAAGUUAUCCAGAAGAUCUCGCUAAGAUCACUGAUGAAGGUGGCUAUACUAAACAUGUUUUUAGUGUAGAUGAAACAGCACUAUAUUGAAAGAAGAUGCCAUAUAGCCAUACAGGACUUUCAUAGCAACAGGAAAGAAUAAUUCAACGCCUGGCUUCAAAGGACAGGCUGACUCUCUUGUUAGGGGAUAAUACAGCUGGUGACUUUAAGUUGAGGCCAGUGCUCACUUACCAUUCAAAAAUCUUAGGGCCCUUAAGAAUGAUGCUAAAUCGGCCAGGCGUGGUGGCUCACACCUGUAAUCCCAGCAUUUUGGGAGGCUGAGGCAGGUGGAUCACGAGGUCAGGAAAUCUACACCAGCCUGCCCAACACGGUGAAACCCCGUCUCUACUAAAAAUACAAAAAAAUUAGCCGGGCCUGGUGGCAGGCGCCUGUAGUCCCAGCUACUUGGGAGACUGAGGCAGGAGAAUGGCGUGAACCCAGGAGGCGGAGUUUGCAGUGAGUCGAGAUCGCGCCACUGUACUCCAGCCUGGGUGACAGAGCGAGACUCCGUCUCAAAAAAAAAAAAAAAAAAAAAAAAAAGAAUGAUGCUAAAUCUACUCUGCCUGUGCUCUAGAAAUGGAACAACAUAGCCUGGAUGACAGCACAUCUAUUUAUAGAAUAAUUUACUGAGCAUUUUAAGCCCAUUGUUGAGACCUGCUGUUCAGAAAAGAAGAUCCCUUUCAAAAAACUGCUGCUCAUUGACAAUGCGCCUGGUCACUGAGGAGUUCUGAGAUGAACAAGGAGAUUAAAGUUGUUUUCAAACCUCCUAACACAACAUCCAUUUUGCAGCCCAUAGAUCAAGGAGUAAUUUUGACUUCAUAGUCUUAUUAUUUAAGAAAUACACUUCAUUGGCCAGGUGCGGUGGCUCACGCCUGUAAUCCCAGCACUUUGGGAGGCUGAGGUGGGUGGACCACGAGGUCAGGAGAUCAAGACCAUCCUGGCUAACACGGUGAAACCCCGUCUCUACUAAAAAAUACAAAAAAUUAGCCGGGCUUGGUGGUGGGCACCAGUAGUCCCAGAUACUCGGGAGGCUGAGGCAGGAGAACGGCGUGAACCUGGGAGGUGGAGCUUGCAGUGAGCCGAGAUCGCGCCACUGCACUCCAGCCUGGGCGACAGAGCAAGACUCUUGUCUCAAAGAAAAAAAAAAAAAAUACACUUCAUAUGGCUAUGGCUGCUGAGAUGGUCAAAACACCAACAUUAACAGGAGUUUGAAAGAAGUUGAUUUCAACCCUCAUGGAUGACUUUGAGGGGGUGAAGACUUCAGUAGAGGAAGUUGCUGCAGAUGUGGUGAGAAUAACAAGGUAACUAGAAUUUGAGUGGAGCUUGAAGAUGUGACUGAAUUGCUACAAUUUCAUGAUAAAACUCAAAUGAACGAGGAGGUCAUUUGAGUUUUGCUCAAAACUUUGCUGUGGAUGAGCAAAAAAAGUGGUUUCUUGAGAUGGAAUCUACUCCUGGUGAAGAUGUUGUGAACAUUGUUGAAGUGACAACAAAAGAUUUAGAAUAUUACAUAAACUGGCUGGGCACAGUGGCUCACACCUACAAUCCCAGCACUUUGGGAGGCUGAGGCAGGCGGAUCACUUGAGGUCAAGAGUUCGAGAGCAGCCUGGCCAACAUGGUGAAAACCCAUCUCUACAAAAAUAGAAAAAUUAGCCAGGUGUGGUGGCAUGCACCUGUAAUCCCAGCUACUUGGGAGGCUGAGGCAGAAUUGUUUGAACCCAGGAGGCGGGGUUGCAGUGAGCCAAGAUUGCGCCACUGCACUCCAGCCUGGCGACAGAACGAGGCUCUGUGACACACCCCAAACAUUACAUAACCUUAGCUGAUAAAGCAGCAGCAGGGUUUGAGAGGACUGAGUCCAAUACUAGAAGAACUACUGUGGGUAAAAUGCUAUCAAACAGCACUGCAUGCUACUGAGAAAUCGUUCAUGAAAGGAAAAAUCAACGGAUGCGGCAAACUUCCUUGCUAUCUUAUUUAAAGAUACUGCCACAGACACCCCAAUGUUUAGCAACUACCACCCUGAUCAGUCAGCAACCAUCCACGUGGAGGCAAGGCCCUCCAGCAGCAAGACGAUUACAACUCCCUAAAGGCUGAGCUCAUUGUCAGCAUUUUUUAGCAAUAUCGUAUUUUAAAAUUAAGGUAUGUAAAUUUUUUUUGUAGAUACAGUGCUGUUGCAUACUUAGUAGACUAUAGUAUUAUAUAAACAUAACUUCUGUAUGCACUGGGAAACCAAAAAAUUCUUGUGACUCGCUUUAUUGUGUUGGUCUGGAACUGAACCUGCAACAUCUCUGAGGUAUGCCUAUAUUAGACCUUAGGUAAAUUCGAGGGCUGAAAGAAGCCUUACCAAGAACUUUCAAAGGAGUGGGAACUAUUCUCCUAAGAGAAGCCUCAGGAUAGCAAUUAGGAAAUGAAGACAAAAGCAAAGCACUGAAAAUCUACUGAUAUUCUCUACUGAGGGACAACCGACCACAACAAGGAAUUGGUUUCUUGUGGAAUGUGGCCAGAGUGCAAAAUCCUGCAAGUGUACAGUCUGUAAUGACAGAUAUCAGGCAGAAUAGUAAUCAAGAGAAACGUAGAAAAAAAAAAAAAAAGACUCUGGGUUUCUGUACCUACAUGUAUGGCUUCAGCAGCUUUAAGAGGGGUGGUAACAAGUCAGUCUUUCUUGUGAGCCUCAGUGAGGGAGCUGAUUCUAGGACCUUCUACUACUUGCAAAGCAGAAAAGCACACAAUGUCCAGGUAUAGCCAGAAGAAUAUGCUGAACUUGGCAAUGACAUGCUAAUUCUACUCCAUAUGUAGCUCUUGAAUAUGGCACUCAUACAAGAUGAUAUAUAUAUAUUUUUCUUUUGAGACAGGGUUUCACUCUGUGCCCAGACUGGCAUGCAGUGGUGCCAUCACAGCUCACUGCAGCUUUGAUCUCCUGGGCUCAAGCAAUCCUCCCACCUUAGCCUCCCAAGUGGCUGAGACUACAGGCACAUGCCACACGCCGGGCUAAUUUUUUAUUUUUUUGUAGACAGGGUCUUGCUAUGCUGCCUAGGCUGGCCUUGAACUCUUCAACUGCAGUCUUGACCUCCCAGGCUCAAAUUAUCUUACAUAGGCCUCCCAAUGUGCUAGGAUUAUAGGCAUGAGCCACCAUGACAAGCUCCGGAUGGUAUUCUUAAUUCAGUUCACAAUGUGCCCUCAUCAGAUUGCUAGUGGCCAGGAGUGAACAACUGAGUGACUUUAGGAAUCAGGACACCAGGAAUAUGUUCCUAGAAAGUGAAGGUAUGAGUGGAAAACCUGGGUUGGAUUAUGAACAAGGCCCACAUGUGUCCCAGAGUGGCCAGGGCGGGGGAACAGCAGCAGGUGCUGGUGAAAGGAAGGUGGAUUACUGGGGCAAUGCCCUGUCUUUGUGUCUAUGGUUUCUUUGAGGGAAGUAGGUAAGUUUCAAGUAGCUGCUCUAGGACAAGGUGGGGAUAGGCACCUGGCAGCUCUUGGUUAAGGUAGGAAGAGCAGCAUCUCAUGGAAUGGUCAGAACACAAGCCAUACUUGUGUUCUGGGACCUACUCCCUACCCAGGACCUGGGGCAAGGGAAGCUUGGUAUCCCCUGCACACCCAGUAAGUGGUAAUGUAACUGACUCUAUUCCUCCAGUGGCAACUUGUCCAAAUACACAGCUGAGAUCUGAAGUCUAGUGAAAUGGAAGACCACACAUUCUGAAAUGUCUGCUUUCUAGUUUUUCUCUGCUGCAGCUACAACACAAAGAAGAAAAGAUAAAACUCAGUGCCAUGGCUGCUUUUGCUCAGAAGGUGUCUCUCGGAGCAGAGCUGAACGCCCCUCUUAGCCAUGCCCUCCUCUGGCCUUUAACCCCUCACCUGAGCUGCCUCUACACUCCGUCUCUCAACUCAUCAGGGUCAUUAAAGUUGAGUGUGCAUCAGAAACACUUGAGAGGUUAAAACUUAGAUUGCCGAGCUCCAUCUUAAAUCUCUGAUUCAGUAGGUCUGGGGUAGGGCCCGAUAUCAUGCAUUUUUGGCAGGUUCUUAGGUGCUGAUGUUCUGGGCACCGUAUUUGAGAUGCAGCCCCAAAAGGUUGACUUGCUUUGCAGCUGGUGGUUAGAAUCUUGAUGAGAGAGCUUAUAUUAAAAAAUGAAUUGUAAACACCCAUCUCUAGUGAUUAGAGGGAUAAAGCUGCCUGGGUAGGGCUUCCCCGUUAGACAAUGUGAAAAGUAGCCCACGCAGCCUAGAUUACUUUUUGGAGAAAGUAGAUGACUCUAUCUGCCACCUUAUAGUUCAAUAAACUGAGAUGACAGAUCAAGGAAGAACCAAAAAUAUAUUCAUACAGAUUUUAUUGACAAUUUCAGUUGCUUGAAAGACUUCUUGGCUGGGCCAGCGUACAGGAUAAAAUAACUUGCAAAUGAUGACAGAUGUGUUUACCCUAUAUUCUUUUCUAUUUGGAAUCAAAGCUUGUUUGGAGACCUGUAUCAUCAUCCCAGUACAAACCUCUUGCCCUCCCAGCAUGGCUGCCAUAAAUAAUGACUCAUAUGCAAAGAACCAACCCCCAAGAAGGCACUCCUCCCAUAAGGUGACACAGCCACACUUCUCAAGGGACUCCUGAGGGCAGAGCAGUAACACUGGGAGUUUGUCCUAAGUAUCUUACAGUUGAGCAGAGGAGCUUCAGGGUAGCUGAAAAGUGUCUUGUCAGUUUUACUUUAAAAUUUUUUUUUUCCUAUUUACCUAUGUGAGCAAAAAAUUUACUACUGUAAAAUUGAAACAAUGAAAUAUACCCAUAAAGGCUUAGAUAUACUCAUAAAGGCUGUGUCUGCCAUAUGAAACCUGACUUCAAAUCUUUAUAUUCCUCAAACUAACCUGAUUAUUCUGAUUAUAAAUGCUAUACUGUACAUUUGCAUUUAUAUAAAACACUACUUUUUUUUUUUCUAUAUUGUGGUUUCACAGAAGAUUUUUCUUUUCUUUUUUCUUUUUUUGUUUUUGAGACAGGGUCUUGGCUCUGUUGCCCAGGCUGGUACCAUCAUAACACUGCAAACUUGACCUCCUGGACUAAGGCAAUCCACCUCAGCCUCCCAAGUAGCUGGGACCACAGUCUUGUGCUACCACGCCUGGCUAACUUUUAAAGAUUUUGCAGAGAUGGGGGUCUUGCCAUGUUGCCCAAGCUGGUCUCGAACUGCUGGGCUCAAGCAAUCCUCCCACCUUGGCCUCCCAAAAUGUUGGGAUUACAGGCAUGAGCUACUGUACCCAGCCAACUUUUUUUCCAGCUAUUUAAGAAAACUGUGAAAUCAUUCCAUUAGGGAUAAAGCAAAUAAACCAUCAAUGACUAGCUCCUCAAAAAUGCUCUGAGCCUCCUGGGAUGCUAUGUCCAGGGUCUCUAUUUCCAUCUCAUCACACUAUCAACCACACAUACUCUUAAGUCCUUUUAAACCUGACAUUCCUUGGUUAUUAUGGCUGGGAGGCUAAUUAUCCCAGAGAAAAAGACCAAAAAAAAACCCCAAAAAACAACAACAAAAAACAACCAACCCCCACUCCAGCUGCUGACCACUUUCCUCAAGUGAUCGUCUUGACGCUAUCACGAUCAUCUUCUGUGAUCAGCAAGGACUGUGCCACUAGGACUAAUGGCCACCCUGGGUCUCUUUUUCUAAAGAUUAUAAAUGAUGGGCUAGAAAGGGCAAAGCAAAUAAUUGUUCUACCCACUAAUAAUUCCUAUCAGGAUUUUUUCCCUCAAGGAGUACAUAGCUCUUCUUUCUAAUGAAAAGGAAAUUACAGAGAUGGAAGAAAAAACAAGUUAAAGAAUACUGAACACAUCUGAAUAAAAACCCAUUUUGUACUACUCAAGGUGAUCUACAGAUUCAAUGUAAUCCCUGUCAAAACACCAAUGACAUUCUUCACAGAAAUAGAAAAAUCCUAAAAUUUGUAUGGAACCACAAAAGACUCUGAAAGCUAAAGUGAUCCUGAAUAAGAACAAAAGCUAUAGGCAUAGGCAUCACACUACCUGAUUUUAUAAUUUUCUUUUUUUUUUAAAGACAAGGUCUCACUCUGUCACCCAGGCUUGAGUGCAGUGGCAUCACUGUGGCUCACUGAAGUCUUGACCUCCUGGGCUCAAGUGAUCCUCCCACGUCAGCCUCCUAAGUAGCUGGGACUACAGGUGCACACCAGCACACCCGGCUAAUUUUUUUAGUGACAGGAUUUUGCCAUGUUGCCCAGGCUGGUCUUGAACUCUGGGCUCGGCCUCCCAAAUUGCUGGGAUUACAGGUGUGAGCCACCACACCCAGCCCACACUACCCAAUUAAAAAAAUUUUUAACUGCUUAUUCUCCAUAGAAGCCAUCAUUUUAACAGGAACUAGCAUAAAGAUCAUGCAGUCUACUGUGAAAAGCUUGCUCAGAACUUCUAAGUGAUAUUAAUUUGCAUUCAGAAUGUCUAGCCUCUAGGGAUCUCACAGAACAUGAACCGAAGUUACCUCAUCUGUAUCAAGGAGGAAAGAAUACCAGAAAAGCUCUUGUGGGGGCUGAAAUGCCAUGUAAAGAGUGAUUUCUCUCUUGUAGGUUAUCUAUUGUGGGGUAACACCUAGAGUAGUAUCUUAUUCAUGAUUUUUAUACUCAUUAAGGGAAACAAGGAAUAUAGCCAUUCAAACUACACACGUGUAACAACACAUUAUUUACAAAGCAACUUAAGUUGGUUAAGUCUAAUGGCAGGUGAAUUCAUUUUAGAAGCAACUGAGGGAAUGAAUUCAAUUUGAAUUUUUUCAAAUGAAGGGAAUGACAUAAGAAAAACCCAAAGCCUUGGAGACAGAAAAUUCUGGUGCAUUAGAAUUUAUAAAGACAAGGACAAAUGGAAGUUUUAAUUCCAUCUGGAACUAACAAUAGGCAGUAAGAUUCAGUUUGCACCAGUCCCUUUACCGGACUGGCUUUAAAAAAAUGGACUAAGAGACCAAUGCCUUCCAGAUCCACUAUGGCCAUUCACAAGGUCAUCUUUUUUAGCAAGAAAUUCAAAUACUAAAUGCAAACAGUUUUUUUUUUUUUUUUUCUAAAAUAGAGCAUCAUUGUUAGUAAAAAUAGGUGAGAAAAUGCUCUUUUCCCUCCUCUUUGAGACAGGGUCAUGCUCUGUUGCCCAAUCUGGAGUGUGGUGGCACCAUCAUCGCUCACUGCAGCCUCUAACCCUUGGGCUCAAGUGAUCCUCCCAUGUAGCUGGUACUAUGGGCAGGCACAUGCCACCAUGCCUGGCUAAUUUUUUGUAGAGAUGGGGUUUCACCAUGUUGCCUAGGCUGGCCUCGAACUCCUGGGCUCAAGCAAUCCUCCUACCUUGGCCUCCUAAAGUGUUGGGACUACAGGAGCCACCGUGCCUGGCCAAGUUUAAUUAAAUAUGUAAAUUAGGGGAAAAGCUCCCCCAUCCCCCUCCCUUUUUUGGAAAAUCUGGGGAAGGCUCCAGAGCUAUCCUGAAUCUGAAGCAGCAAUCUUUACAGUCUGAGUCUACCUGGCAGGGGCCAGAUGUCUCUGUAUAGUCUAGGUUAAUGGCCUCCUCUCAAUCAACUUGGCUAUCAGAAUGAUCCUUUGGGAAAUUUGUUCCCAUUAUCUGGAUGCUGAUGUCUGAAGGCCAUAAAUGCCAGACAGGCUCAAUUUAUUUUAAAUGAUUUUUCCUUUAGGGCCACAUGAUUGCAAUUUAUAAAAUGUAAUUCAAACAACAGAUUUAGAAAAUACUCAAGAAGGAAAAUACAUGGCAGAUCUUGACCAGCGAAAUAUCAGACAGGUUACAAGUGGAAAAGACUUAAGUCUGUGUUUAGGAACCCUCACUCCUCUUACUCAAGCAGAUUGCUCGUGGGAGGUUCUCUGAUUCCAACUCUAAAACGCUUUGGCAAAUACGAGAAAUAACUAAACAUGGAUCAAAUGAAUCCAUUUGCCCUACCCCUACCCCCAGUCUUCUUUCUCUUUACUCCUAAUUCCUGCCCUCUCAUGUGUUCUCAAACACUAAAGGGACUUUGAGUGCCAUUUUCUAAAUAAAAAUUCUCAUGAUCUUGACUGCAUCCUAAUGAAUCUCAAGGAGUGAUAAUUCGAUGAAGAAACUAAACUGUUUUUAUGUAAUUGUUAACUGAAAUCGAGGUUGGUGGUAUCCCAGGAUUUUAAAUCCCCUUUAAGCAUAAUCCCAGGGAACUGAAUUAUGUUUAAAUUCUUGAAGGCAAGAAAAAUUUCCAAGAAAAUCAAAAAGGAAAUCUGGUUUCCAAAAAAGCCAAUACCCUCUCUAAGCCAUGCUGCCCCUCUGGGGUCAAAAUAACUCAGAAGUCAGUAGCCCUGAGGUACAGUCCAAAACUUUCUAACCGAUGUGUUCUCCUCUAGUAUUCACUAUGUCCCCACCCUAGGUUCCUAGCUGUUUAUGAUCAAGCAAAAGAAGUAAGCUUACCUAACAUCUCUUCUUUUAGUCUUUCAUUACGUUCUUCAAUUUGCUUAGGUAAUCUCUGAGGAAAAGAGGAGAAACAAGGGUUGGUAAAAAAAACAAAAAAAACAAAAAAAACCUUUGCCUUUAUUUUGAAUUUAAGAAACACGAGAAUCCUAAUGUGGAAAUAAGAUCAAGUUAAGUGUAUGUCUAUGAUCCUAUUAAAUAAAGAAAAAAAAAAACCCAA